GUCCCUGUAGCACAAGGUGUAGCACGUUAGACUUUUAAUCCAAAAUUCGUGGAUUCGAAUUCCACCUGGGAUG